rnacentral:rRNA from 1 species
GACAGAGGGUGCAAGCGUUAAUCGGAAUUAUUGGGCGUAAAGGGUUCGUAGGUGGCUGAUUAAGUCGAAUGUGAAAUCCCCGGGCUUAACCUGGGUAGGUCAUUCGAUACUGGUCGGCUAGAGUUGGGUAGAGGAAAGUAGAAUUUCCGGUGUAGCGGUGAAAUGCGUAGAUAUCGGAAGGAAUACCAGUGGCGAAGGCGGCUUUCUGGACCCAAACUGACACUGAGGAACGAAAGCGUGGGGAGCAAACAGG